UACAGAGGCCUCGAGCGUUAGGCGGAAUCACUGGGCUUAAAGGGUGCGUAGGUGGUCCGUUAAGUCAGUUGUGAAAUCCCCGGGCUCAACCCGGGAACUGCUUCUGAUACUGGCGGACUUGAGGCCAGUAGGGGUCACUAGAACUGACGGUGGAGCGGUGAAAUGCGUAGAUAUCGUCAGGAAUGCCGGUGGUGAAGACGGGUGACUGGGCUGGUUCUGACACUGAGGCACGAAAGCGUGGGGAGCGAACGGG
rnacentral:rRNA from 1 species